rnacentral:rRNA from 1 species
ACCGUGUACGUACAAGCAGUGGGAGCCUCUUAAUGGGGUGACUGCGUACCUUUUGUAUAAUGGGUCAGCGACUUAUAUUCUGUAGCAAGGUUAACCGAAUAGGGGAGCCGAAGGGAAACCGAGUCUUAACUGGGCGUUAAGUUGCAGGGUAUAGACCCGAAACCCGGUGAUCUAGCCAUGGGCAGGUUGAAGGUUGGGUAACACUAACUGGAGGACCGAACCGACUAAUGUUGAAAAAUUAGCGGAUGACUUGUGGCUGGGGGUGAAAGGCCAAUCAAACCGGGAGAUAGCUGGUUCUCCCCGAAAGCUAUUUAGGUAGCGCCUCGUGAAUUCAUCUCCGGGGGUAGAGCACUGUUUCGGCAAGGGGGUCAUCCCGACUUACCAACCCGAUGCAAACUGCGAAUACCGGAGAAUGUUAUCACGGGAGACACACGGCGGGUGCUAACGUCCGUCGUGAAGAGGGAAACAACCCAGACCGCCAGCUAAGGUCCCAAAGUCAUGGUUAAGUGGGAAACGAUGUGGGAAGGCCCAGACAGCCAGGAUGUUGGCUUAGAAGCAGCCAUCAUUUAAAGAAAGCGUAAUAGCUCACUGGUCGAGUCGGCCUGCGCGGAAGAUGUAACGGGGCUAAACCAUGCACCGAAGCUGCGGCAGCGACACUAUGUGUUGUUGGGUAGGGGAGCGUUCUGUAAGCCUGUGAAGGUGUACUGUGAGGUAUGCUGGAGGUAUCAGAAGUGCGAAUGCUGACAUAAGUAACGAUAAAGCGGGUGAAAAGCCCGCUCGCCGGAAGACCAAGGGUUCCUGUCCAACGUUAAUCGGGGCAGGGUGAGUCGACCCCUAAGGCGAGGCCGAAAGGCGUAGUCGAUGGGAAACAGGUUAAUAUUCCUGUACUUGGUGUUACUGCGAAGGGGGGACGGAGAAGGCUAUGUUGGCCGGGCGACGGUUGUCCCGGUUUAAGCGUGUAGGCUGGUUUUCCAGGCAAAUCCGGAAAAUCAAGGCUGAGGCGUGAUGACGAGGCACUACGGUGCUGAAGCGACAAAUGCCCUGCUUCCAGGAAAAGCCUCUAAGCAUCAGGUAACAUCAAAUCGUACCCCAAACCGACACAGGUGGUCAGGUAGAGAAUACCAAGGCGCUUGAGAGAACUCGGGUGAAGGAACUAGGCAAAAUGGUGCCGUAACUUCGGGAGAAGGCACGCUGAUAUGUAGGUGAAGCGACUUGCUCGUGGAGCUGAAAUCAGUCGAAGAUACCAGCUGGCUGCAACUGUUUAUUAAAAACACAGCA